GAGCCAUUAGCUCAGUCGGUAGAGCAUCUGACUUUUAAUUAGAGGGUCGGAGGUUCGAAUCCUCCAUGGCUCA
rnacentral:tRNA from 1 species